CAUUGUUAGGGUGGGAGGCUGCCACUUUGGCCUAGCAACAAACAACUGCCUGACCUUGGGAUCUAUUGAAAGCUGAGAAGCCAAGCAGAACAGAGAGAGCACCACCAAAUGAACCCCCCGCCCCCCCCCCCGGGUUCCUGCCUGUUUCUUUUAUUUAACCUAAACAAAUUCUUCAGUGAAAAAAUAUGGCUAUCCAUCCAGACAGUCUGCAUGUGUAUAUUCAAGAUUGCCUUUCCAUAUUGAUGGGUCUUCUGCAUUGUGAUUCUGAAAUCUUAAAAUCAGUACAUACACACCAGGAAAAAUAAUCACUGGAAAAAAUUCUCAGUGGUGACAAACAAGUUAAAUAUUAUUAUUACAGUGUACUAGCUACGCUAGCUCUUAUAUUUCAGGUGCUGAGCAUUGAGCAAAGAGGGUAUUUGCCCACGUAAGAAAGCCAGUUGUAACCAGUUUGUGUAUAAGCAUUCUGUCACUUAAAAUAACUAAAUGGACAUAAAUCACAGGUUUUCCUCUUCUCUUUCUUCUUGUUACUUAUUCAAAUGAGCCCCCUACACAUGCCAUUGUGUCAAUUCUUCUCCACAUGCAGCUGCGGAUGUAAGACAGGUGGCGCUGAGUCAAUAUGAGACGCUGCAUAUUCUCCGGGAGACUCAGCUUCUAGCCUGGUACAGAAGCUAGCCCUCUAAGUGAAAUUCAGCUAGUAAUAUCAACCCAGCAGCCCUUCCCACUUCUGAAACAGAGUAAUUGGGGCAAAGACCAAAGUCAGGAACAACUGCUCAGAAGAAGGAUAAAAGAUUCCUUCAUGAAUCCAUUCAAGAAUGAGGCGAUGUUUUCAGAGAAUGUAGAAAAUACAGGGAGACUGCAGAUUUCCUGAGGAUGGAAGUCAAGACUGAAUCCAGCUGAGCAGUUCUGCCUAAGCAAGCUACAUCACUGGAACCAACUGAAAUUGCUGCAGGCAUUCCAAGAAAAAUUGCUUCCAUGGCGUACGCUGUUGCAGAUCCUAUUCAAGUGGUGAGUCAACAUCACCUCAUGAUUAGCAGUACUAAAGGCAGCCGAAACAUCUAAUACUAUCGCCAUGGACUCUUCAGAAGACCAUUGACCUGUGUGAGAUCCAAGCUGAAAGCCUGCUGAGCACCUCUUGCUGCAGUUACUUUACUAACAGCCUGAAACUAUGGUUGUGAUAAACCAGUACCCAGCGCUCCAUCCUCCCCUGCGUCUGAACUCCACUUUGCACAGGAAGAGGGGGAAAUGUAAGGCAGCCAGUUACAGCUCCCUGAUUCUGCACCAGCUUGGCCCCAGCAUCACUUAGAGCCGGGGUGGCUUUACCGUGGAUUCAAUUGCACCCACAGAAAUCACACAACCAAGGGUGCCAAAUCUAAGUGGCACUGCAACCCCAUGUACCAGGUUGCAAUGCCUGAAGUGGCGAGCCAGGCCCAGCCUUGUGGGACAGGAGGUGCCACUGUUGGGUGAGUGCAGAGAGGGCUCGCUGUCCUGCCCUACCACACCCCAUGGCCUUCCUCCACCACACCAGGCCAGGAUUAGGAUUGCAGUGCCUGGAAAGUGGGUGCUGCUGGGGGUGGUCAGUGCCCUCCUUCAUUACAACUCAAAAUUAUGUCCAAGAAGCUAUUAUCUGAUUUACUGCAAUUACACUAGAGUUUAGUACAGUGCACCCAUUGAGUCAGGAGACUUCG